AGGCUUAGGUUUAGGCUCAGGCUUAGGCUUAGGCUUAGGCUAGAGUUUAGGCU
rnacentral:sRNA from 1 species